UUAACCUUACUGUUUAUUUAUUGUUAAGCCUCGUAUUUCAUGUUUUUGCACCUCGUUAGGAAUAUAUUGAUGUGACUCAGCAUUCCACGGUGCCACAAGCGCUCCAAGCCUCCACCACAAAACUCUUACUAAUUAACCAUGACAGGAAUAAUAAAGACGUAAAAAAAAUACACAACUAAUGUUAUCAGCUGAGGUGGAGGCAGCCUUCCCCAUUUGUCCGCCAAUAUCUGCUUCAUUUCUCACUUAUUGUAAGCCUAACACGUCGCUAAGUGGAGCCCCAUGACUAGGUUUUCAUAUCCGCUAGCUAAAUAUAUCCGCCAUUGCCUCAUUUAGUUACGAUGGAAGAAUAACAGGCAAAAUAGCGGCCGUUCUCUCCACUGUCAAGGGCCGCCAUGAUGCCUAGCUACCUCUGCCAACCUGAUUCAUCCUGUGGGUUUCAAAAUUUUUUUGGUAUUUUUCUUAACUUCUUUAUUCUGCUCGUAUAGUAUGUUUUUAUGGUUUAUAAAAAUAAUUAUUUGCUUUAGAAGUGUUUUCGUUGCUUGUGUUGAGUUGUGUUCAAUUUUGUGUUGCUUUACGAAAAUGUGGGGAGUUUUUUUGGCAGUAUUUUGACAAACUUGUUUUUUUAUUUCACGCUCUAAUUACGUCUUUUGUGUUUCUAAAAAUUGCUUAUGAUUUUCAAAAUGUUUUUUCGUUCCUGUUGAGAGAAAUAAGUGGACUUUAAAAAUGGUUUAUGGUCCUGUUAAAAGUUGUGAUUACAACACUUUUUAUGUUAUUGUCUCUCUAUUUCAGCUUGUAACUAACUUUUCAUUGCUUGAAAAAAUAGUUCGUAUGUUUUAAAGUGUUUUAUCUUGUUGUUGAGUGAAAAUGGGUGGACUUUUCAGUGGUUUUUAAUCGUAUUUAGGUUCCAACACUUUUUUUUACACAAUUUCGGUUUUAUUUGUUUACUUCUUGUUCCAGGUAACUUUUGAUGGUGUAAGAUGAUAGUUCAGAUUUUUUAAAAUUUUUUACGUUCCUGAAAAUUCAAAUGUUGGGGACUUUUCAAUGAUUUAAAUGGGGCCGAAUAUUUCAACAUAUUUUCCAUAAUUCAUUUGGAUAUUUUUUAAAUACUACUCAGGCUGGAGCUGUUAUAAUAUUGUGGAAAUUAGUUAAAGUAUUUGUCAAGUCAGAAUAUAUAAGGCAUUCGAGCCUAGCUCCAUUUUUUCGAGGGGUCAAUUUCAAAAUGAAAUCCGUUACGGUACGUAAAUUAGCCGUGACGUCACGGCCGCCAUCAUGGACCCGGGACCUUGAUCGGCUCCGCUGUCUCCUCGAACAAUGGUAACCCUCCGAUCCUGCAAGCAAGUUGGCGGCAGCGAUGGCGGUGGCGGUGGCAGUGGUGGUGAGGUGGAAGGCAGGGGCAAAAUGGCAGUACAGGCCGCGGACAUCAAAGAGAAGAAGAACACGCGGACAAGCAAGGUGGUAUUCGGCAGUCUGAUCCUGGACCUGCUCGGCUUCACGGUGGUGCUGCCUCUGUCUCCUGCUCUCCUCGACUAUUACUCCAAGCACGACUCCAUUGACUUGUAUUCCUCUCUGCUCUCCUGUGUUACUUAUUACCAGCAUAUCAUCGGCGUCCCUGCGAGGCACUGAUCGGCGUGGCAUUCAGCGUAGGCUUCACCAUCAGGCCAACUGUGGGGGCCGUGUUCUCCCACUGGUGAAGUACUGGGUGGUUCGCGGCCUCAGCUGUCUACACACUCACUCUUUGCUGUGGCUAACAUAAUAUUCUUUGCUGUCUUCUUCCAGGAAUCACUGCCUGAGGGCCUAAUGAUGAUGAUUCCUGCUUUCAUCCUCAUCGGGGCUAGCGAGACCAACCUGGGGCUGUACUCUGGACUGAUGCUGUAUGCCAUAGGUUCCUCUAUGAUGGUGCCCUGCCUCACUGCCCUCGCCUCCUGUCACGGCGCGGCCUCUCACAAGGGUACCCUGCUAAACUUGAGAAGGAUAAUCAACACAAAGGUGAUUACAAAGCGUUCAUGGAUGACAUGAUUACAAAGGGUUAUGCAGAGGUUGUACCGACAAAGGAUUUAGUUAGGAAUGAUGGUAAGGUCUGGUGCAUUAAACAUCAUGGAGUCUAUCAUCCGAGAAAGCCAAAGAAGUUGAGAGUUGUCUUUGACUGUAGUGCAAACUACAGGAACCAGUCAUUAAACAGUCACCUGUUACAAGGCCCAGACCUUACCAACAAACUUAUUGGAGUGUUGUGUAGGUUUAGGCAAGAAAGCAUUGCACUUGUAUGUGAUAUAUAGAAGAACCGUAGAACACAUUAGCAGUCCCUGUACAAAACACACCUGUCAGUUUCCACCUGUCAUCCCUACUACUACUACUACUACUACUACUACUACUACUACUACUACUACUACUACUACUACUACUACUACUACUACUACUACUAAGAACACAAGGGUUAGUGUAGGAAGCCAUCAGGCCUACACGUGGCAGUCCCUGUACAAAACACACCUGUCUGUUUCCACCUGUCAUCCCCACCCGUACCAUUGAUGCUGUCCUUCAAACCUCCCUAUUGACUCAGCACUAACAGCCCCAUUACUGAGUCUGCUCCAGUCACCCACCACUAUUGUGAAGCUGUUUCUUUGCCUUCGUUGUUCGUGAAUCGUGUUGUCUCGUGAACAGAACAAAAAAUUGAAAAAGGUGCUCCUAUUUUCUAUAGUUAUCUCUAAAAUGGUGUUUGUCUUGUCAGUAAACGGUGCUUAGGGGGAAGAAAUAUAUAUUAGCAGAGAAUUAAGAGAUAUUUGAGUUAGAUCUGUGUCAACUAGGAGAGAGAAAAGGAUGGUUAAUUUAAUGUUAUUUUUGGUUAAGAGAGAGAGAGAGAGAGAGAGAGAGAGAGAAUUUGGUCUUAUUUUCGUUACUAUUGAAUAUUGGACUUAAAAAAUGCGGGGAAAUUGUGAAAAUAUCGAAAGCAUUGAAAGAGAUAGGACAAGAUUUGCUACUGUGAUUUCCUGAGUGACAAUUGUUAUGUAAUAAAACACUUAGAAAGAAAAAAA